rnacentral:lncRNA from 1 species
AGGCUGUAAGACCUGAGCCGGGCGGAGAAGCAAAGGAGAGGGAAGCUGGAAGCACCUUUGGCCCGGGACAGAAAUCUGGAGAGCUUGGCUACCUCCAUCCUCCUCAGGCCGGAGCAGGCUUCCUGAGAGAGUCCAGGUCGUAGGAGUUUUACGACUUAGAAAAGCGGGCUGCAGAUUCCUUCCUGGGUGUUUGGUUCAAGCCUUGGCUCCAGCCUCACUCUCAGUCUUCCCGGGAGUUCGUGGGAUUUGGACCUUAGAUUAUUAGUAUUAUUUUGAGGGCCUCCUGUGUGUAAGCACUGGUUGUGCGCAGAUGGCUGUGCAGAGGGCCAUGAGGUAGAGGCUGGGGAAAUGAGGGCUUGGAGGUGCUUGAGGUAUGGUCUUUACCUACGUGAAAUGUUGGAGGUUGAGAUGAAAACUCUUGCUUUGAAUUCUUCAUGGAGGACUACAUCAUUUCAAUCCUGAAUCUGGCUCAAUUCUAUUAUUCACUUAUUACUGUAUUAAAAACGUUUAAUUGGCCAGGCACAGUGGUUCACGCCUGUAAUCCCAGCACUUUGGGAGGCCAAGGCAGGCGGAUCACUUGAGGUCAGGAGUUCGACACCAGCCUGGCCAACAUGGCAAAACCCCGCCUCUACUAAAAAUACAAAAAUUAGCCAGGCGUGGUGGCACGCACCUGUAAUCACAGCUACUUAGGAGGCUGAGGUGGCAGAAUUGUUUGAACCCAGGAGGUGGAGGUUGCAGUGAGCCGAGAUCACACCACUGCACUCAAGCCUUGGCAUCAGAGUGAGACUCUGUCUCAGUAAAAAAAAAAUAAAUAAAUAAAAAUGUUUAAUUAACCAUGAUAUUUGCUUUGGUAAAACCUUUGAGGUUUAAUGAGAAUUUUAAAAUUCAUUAUACUUUUCUUAUGGCAUAUAAAAGUUUUAAUUUUUUUUAUUGUCUCAACUAACAUCAUAAAUGUCUUAAUGUUAAAAUCCAUGGGAUAUUCUAUUUAAAAUUUUAGCUUUAUCACCUUUGUGCUAUCAGAGAAUGUGCUUUGAACUGGUAAAAUGAGUUAAAGUAUUGGAAAACACUUAUGUCAGCAGAGGCUCUUAAAAAUCAUUUUCAUCCUUCCUCUUCUAGUGAUGAUUUUUUUUUAACCCAUGUUUUCACCAGUCUACCAAUCCAAUGGCAUAAAUGCUCCUACAUAGGCAACUUAAGUGUUUCUUAAGUUGAUGCAAGGUAUUUUGCAUGAGGCUGAAUUCUUGUUGUCGGAGCAGAGGAUUUUUGUUCCAACUACUGAAUUGGCAAAAUGUUAAAUAUAAAAACACCUCAAAAAGUCAAA